rnacentral:rRNA from 1 species
AUACGUAGGGGGCAAGCGUUAUCCGGAUUUACUGGGUGUAAAGGGAGCGUAGACGGCGAAGCAAGUCUGAAGUGAAAGGACGGGGCACAACCCCGGAACUGCUUUGGAAACUGUUUGGCUGGAGUGCGGGAGGGGUAAGCGGAAUUCCUAGUGUAGCGGUGAAAUGCGUAGAUAUUAGGAGGAACACCGGUGGCGAAGGCGGCUUACUGGACCGUAACUGACGUUGAGGCUCGAAGGCGUGGGGAGCAAACAGGAUUAGAUACCCUGGUAGUCCACGCGGUAAACGAUGAUCACUAGGUGUCCGUGGGUAUGACCCAUGGGUGCCGCAGCCAACGCAAUAAGUGAUCCACCUGGGGAGUACGUUCGCAAGAAUGAAACUCAAAGGAAUUGACGGGG